GACGAACGCUGGCGGCGUGCCUAAUACAUGCAAGUAGAACGCACAGUUUAUACCGUAGCUUGCUACACCAUAGACUGUGAGUUGCGAACGGGUGAGUAACGCGUAGGUAACCUGCCUGGUAGCGGGGGAUAACUAUUGGAAACGAUAGCUAAUACCGCAUAAUAUUGAUUAUUGCAUGAUAGUUGAUUGAAAGAUGCUAUUGCAUCACUACCAGAUGGACCUGCGUUGUAUUAGCUAGUAGGUGAGGUAACGGCUCACCUAGGCGACGAUACAUAGCCGACCUGAGAGGGUGAUCGGCCACACUGGGACUGAGACACGGCCCAGACUCCUACGGGAGGCAGCAGUAGGGAAUCUUCGGCAAUGGACGAAAGUCUGACCGAGCAACGCCGCGUGAGUGAAGAAGGUUUUCGGAUCGUAAAGCUCUGUUGUAAGAGAAGAACGGGUGUGAGAGUGGAAAGUUCACACUGUGACGGUAUCUUACCAGAAAGGGACGGCUAACUACGUG
rnacentral:rRNA from 1 species